rnacentral:rRNA from 1 species
AUUGAACGCUGGCGGCAGGCCUAACACAUGCAAGUCGAACGCGUGGCGGACGGGUGAGUAAUGUCUGGGAAAGUGCCUGAUGGAGGGGGAACACUACGGGAAACGGUAGCUAAUACCGCAUACCAUCAGAUGUGCCAAGAUGGGAUUAGAUAGUUGGUGGGGUAAAGGCUCACCAAGGCGACGAUCCCUAGCUGGUCUGAGAGGAUGACCAGCCAAACGGGAACUGAGACACGGUCCAGACUCCUCCGGGAGGCAGAAGUGGGGAAUAUUGCACAAUGGGCGCAAGCCUGAUGCAGCCAUGCCGCGUGUAUGAAGAAGGCCUUCGGGUUGUAAAGUACUUUCAGCGGGGAGGCGUUACCCGCAGAAGAAGCACCGGCUAACUCCGUGCCAGCAGCCGCGGUAAUUC